GCAGAAGAUUUUGAAAUUUUGGAGUUUAGACAUGUGGUCUUCUCUGCCUUUUGGCUAAGAUCAAGUGUAGUAUCUGUUCUUAUCAGUUUAAUAUCUGAUACGGCCUCUAUCCGAGGACAAUAUAUUAAAUAGAUUUUUGGAGCAGGGAGAUGGAAUAGGAG